UUAAAUGAUCAACAGCUUUCUGUUUAAAUGCAACACUCUUAACUAUGCUUAUGGUGGGCCUCAUUCUAUGGUUUUUCUUUUGAGCAUAAGAUUGUAUAAGAAAGAAAAGCACUCCUGCAACACUCUUAACAUCCCCUCCUCAUCACCAAAACUGAGCCUAAUUGUUCAAAGGUAUGAGCACAAUUUUGAUCAAUUCACUGCUUCAUCUAAAUGUUAUAUUUGUUUGUUAUGUAAAGGGGAAUUAUAGUAAAAGCAAUUUUGACAAUCAAGUGGCGUAUAAAUUGCCACUUGCCCAUCGAAUUUGUAAGGAUACGGAAGCACUUUUGAAAAUAAUUGCCCAGGUAAAAGUAACUUUCAGAAUCAUACUUGAGACAUGCGGAUCUUUCAUAUGGGUUCCACAAUUAUGGUGACCGUUCUCGAAAUGCGAUUCAAAGGCAAGGGCUCUCCCCUUUUGGUAGUUGUGUUUAAUGAAAGUUGGAUGGUAAAAAGAAAUUAAAUCGUGUGUAAUGUUGAUGAUUUUAGUGUGGUUAUUAUAAAUAUUGAGAUANNNNN
rnacentral:lncRNA from 1 species